GUAGGUGGCAAGCGUUGUCCGGAAUUAUUGGGCGUAAAGCGCGCGCAGGCGGUUCUUUAAGUCUGAUGUGAAAGCCCACGGCUCAACCGUGGAGGGUCAUUGGAAACUGGAGAACUUGAGUACAGAAGAGGAAAGCGGAAUUCCACGUGUAGCGGUGAAAUGCGUAGAGAUGUGGAGGAACACCAGUGGCGAAGGCGGCUUUUCUGGUCUGUAACUGACGCUGAGGCGCGAAAGCGUGGGGAGCAAAACAGGGAUUAGAUACCCUGGUAGUCCACGCCGUAAACGAUGAGUGCUAAGUGUUAGGGGGGUUUCCGCCCCCUUAGUGCUGCAGCUAACGCAUUAAGCACUCCGCCUGGGGAUACGGCCGCAAGGCUG
rnacentral:rRNA from 1 species